rnacentral:rRNA from 1 species
ACUCCUACGGGAGGCAGCAGUCGGGAAUUUUGCGCAAUGGGCGAAAGCCUGACGCAGCAACGCCGCGUGAGGGAUGACGGCCUUCGGGUUGUAAACCUCUUUUGUCAGGGAAGAUGAUGACGGUACCUGACGAAUAAGCCACGGCUAACUACGUGCCAGCAGCCGCGGUAAU